GUGCCCCUGGGAUGUUCGUGAUUGUAAGACAGCCUUUACCCUAACCACACGUUAACGGGAGUUCACCCUUUUACCGGUGCGCUUUGUCCAGCCAGAAUGGAAAAGCCUGAAAGUAAUACUGAAUGCCCACUUAUUUGAACCUUUGGUUCAAAGUCUUAAAACACAACACGGCAGUUCCGGGGGCACU
rnacentral:other from 1 species